rnacentral:lncRNA from 1 species
AUAAGAAAUUGUAAACCGUAAUACCCUAUAAAGACUUCACCAUGUUUCAACAGUACAACUUUAAAACUUGACAUAUUAUAGUUGCAAGACUUAAAAAAUAGUAUAUUACAGUACAAUAUAAGCUAAGCACGCACUCUUCCUUUUUAAUUUCAAAACAUAUGUACUUAAUUAAAGAAAACUGAAUCAGAAUCUUACAAUAUAACUCAACUAUUGCCAUCAAUUUGCCUGCAGCAAACCAGGGCAAAUUUAUUUCAUCCAAGACUAUUAUUCACACAUCCACAACUACUAGUAAUUUAUUUCAAAAGAUAAAUUUGUAACAACAAACCCCAAUAAUCAAUCCUUUUCCCCAUUAAAAAUUUUUUGAUACACAAUACGCAGUAAAUUUCUUUUAACUGUUAGAAAUGCACUAUAUCAGCAAUUAUAACCUUCAGAACGAAAAGAAACUAAUUAAUCUCUGCAAACGGAUGGCAACAUAAGAAAAGGGCGAAGUAAGCGGAAGCAAUGUGAAUGGGAGGCAUCGGAAAGACAAAAUUAUUUUUAUUUUUCAACUUUGAAUUGAAAAAAAAACAAAUAUAACUUUAUCUUUAGACACCUCCCACUCAAAUAACUUCUCAUAAUCGCAUCCCUUUCCACUCCAGCUUUUUUGACGGAUCAAUGCUCAUGCUCUCUCCCUCAAAAUGUGAGAGUAAUAUAAGUAAAUUAAAAUAUUGAAAGACAAAGCGGAUCUAUUAAUAGAAACAAACAAAUAACAGAAGGAGCCAUCAGGAACCAAAGUUGAUCCCCAGAAGCUUGAAGCUAUUGUACGGUCCGCAUCAUGGUUUGAUCUUUUCAAAGAUCGCAUCACAUGGCUCCUCUAUAUAUUUGUAUUUGAAUAAUAAAGAGAAGAAAAACAAUUUAUAAUAAGUCAAAAAUAAUGAAACCAAACAAAAAAAAAAGUAAGGAAAGGAGCUCAGAAGAGUAUAUGGGUAUGAGAAAUUUAACAUCACAAUAAUCAGAGUGGUGCAUGACUUUCUCUAUAUAUCAUCAUAGCUCCUAUGAAAGCAUGAAAACUGUGUGUGUUUGUGUGUGAAAAGUUCAAACCCUGAGAUUGGUUUGUUGAGAGAGAGAGAUCUGUUUGUGCGGGUAGGUAUGGGCGGAAAACUGUGUGUGUGUGUGUGUGUGAGAGAGAGAAAUUCAAACCCUGAGAUCGGUUUAUCGAGAUCUCGAGAGAGAGAGAGAUAUCUGUUAGAGUUGUUGG